UGGGGAAUAUUGCACAAUGGGCGAAAGCCUGAUGCAGCAACGCCGCGUGAGCGAUGAAGGCCUUCGGGCUGUAAAGCUCUGUCUUCGCUGACGAUAAUGACGGUAAGCGAGGAGGAAGCCACGGCUAACUACGUGCCAGCAGCCGCGGUAAUACGUAGGUGGCAAGCGUUGUCCGGAAUUACUGGGCGUAAAGAAUGCGUAGGCGGCUUUUUAAGUGGGAUGUGAAAUCCCUGGGCUCAACCCAGGAACUGCAUUCCAAACUGGAGAGCUAGAGUGUGGGAGAGGAAAAUGGUAUUCCCAGUGUAGCGGUGAAAUGCGUAGAGAUUGGGAGGAACACCAGUAGCGAAGGCGAUUUCUGGAACAUAACUGACGCUGAGGCAUGAAAGCGUGGGGAGCAAACAGGAUUAGAUACCCUGGUAGUCCACGCCGUAAACGAUGAGUACUAGGUGUAGGGGUCAACCUCUGUGCCGCAGUUAACACUAA
rnacentral:rRNA from 1 species